UACGUAGGGUGCAAGCGUUGUCCGGAAUUAUUGGGCGUAAAGAGCUCGUAGGCGGCUUGUCACGUCGACUGUGAAAACCCGCAGCUCAACUGUGGGCUUGCAGCUGAUACGGGCAGGCUUGAGUUCGGUAGGGGAGACUGGAAUUCCUGGUGUAGCGGUGAAAUGCGCAGAUAUCAGGAGGAACACCGGUGGCGAAGGCGGGUCUCUGGGCCGAUACUGACGCUGAGGAGCGAAAGCGUGGGGAGCGAACAGG
rnacentral:rRNA from 1 species